rnacentral:rRNA from 1 species
AAAUGAAUUGACGGGGGCCCGCACAAGCGGAGGAACAUGUGGUUUAAUUCGAUGAUACGCGAGGAACCUUACCCGGGCUCGAACGGUGCAGGAAUAUGGUAGAGAUAUCAUAGCUAGCAAUAGUCUGUAUCGAGGUGCUGCAUGGUUGUCGUCAGCUCGUGCCGUGAGGUGUAGGCUUAAGUGCCAUAACGAGCGCAACCCUUGUCGUUAGUUGCCAUCAAGUCAUGUUGGGGACUCUAGCGAGACUGCCACCGUAAGGUGUGAGGAAGGGGGGGAUGACGUCAAAUCAGCACGGCCCUUACGUCCGGGGCGACACACGUGUUACAAUGGUAGGUACAGAGGGCAGCUACCCAGCGAUGGGAUGCCAAUCUCGAAAACCUAUCUCAGUUCGGAUCGGAGUCUGCAACUCGACUCCGUGAAGUUGGAUUCGCUAGUAAUCGCGCAUCAGCCAUGGCGCGGUGAAUACGUUCCCGGGCCUUGUACACACCGCCCGU